rnacentral:lncRNA from 1 species
AUUUUCCUAUGGUUGUUAUAACAUCUUGUCUUAGACAUGUUAGAAUAUGUUUGAAGUACAGGGACUUUUAUGGAAUUCAUUGACAUUACAAUAUAUUUGUAUGGUCAAGCAACAUGUCAACAUCCUGUCAAGCCCUCUUCCAGCAAAGCCAAAGCUGACCAAGGAUUUUCACCAUUUCAUAACAAGCUGUAUACAACCACAGGAGGAGUUACUCCAGUAGGAACAGGUACAAAUCUUACAAUAAUUUUUAUUGUUCCUUAUAGUCAAUCUGAAAUUAGGGAACCAACAUUUAAUACAUCAUAUAGCUAGAUUAAAUCAAAGGGGGAGGGUGGAAGGGGCAUGUGAAUAUUCUUUUACACCUAACAAGUUUCUAAGACAUCUUAUUUAUUUCCAAUGACAAAGUGCAUACCAAUAAUUUAUAUCCUUUAUAUACAUGUUCUGUCUUUGGACCAUUCGAUUAUAAAAAAAGAGGGAGGGUUAAAAUCGUUAUGUCCUUGUCAGCUAAGGACAUAAUUUUAAUUUUCAAGCUAUUAACCAGGGUACAAUAUAUUUAUUUUAUUUCAAAUUUUUUUUCAAUAUGGUAAUAUUCAAUAUAAAGCAGGUCAGGGUUUUUUCUCUUCCCCUAAGUUAUAUUUUCAGUUCUAACUGGAAGUUGUUUAUCUCUUUAAAUUUGUCUACUAAAAAAACUUUUAUCUCGUGGAAAAGUCUCAUAAAAAUACAUGUUUUAAAUACAACAUAAUGUACAUGUAACAAACACUAGACUACUUUAUCCAGAGAAUAAUCUUUUUUAAUGAACUAUUCAUUCUUGUAGGCCAUGGAGACUAAAAAAAAACAAAAGCAUUGCAAAGUUUUGUAAACUUUUAUUUUAGGACCCUACAUUUGUACAUUUAGAUGUAUGUAGAUUACUUAUAGUGCCCUUUUUAAAAGAAAAACAUAUAUAUUUAAACUACAUGCACAUUGAUGCUACAUGUACACAACCCUAAAUUUCCUGUUUGAUAUAUUUUAUUUCAUGAAAAACAAAAUUGAAGAAUUAUUUUAUAGUUUCACACUUUUUAUUUGUAGGGCUAUAUGCCAGCAGGUAUACCAUCCAGAUGAAUUUUUGUGAAAGUGACAAUAGCCAGGUCAAACUAAAUACUAUAUAGAAGAAGAUAUUGGUAUGAUAAUAUUAAUUUAUAUAUUAAUUUAAUUGUUUGUAUACAAUGUAAUAUAUGGGAAUCAUAAAGUAUAUAAUAACAUUACUAUGCAUGUUAUACACCAGUCUUAUUAUGUUUGGCGGCUUCUAUUUCCAUUCAACAGCUAACAAUGACUAAUGAACUCUUCAUACAUUCCUUUUCAAAUAUAAAUGAAUAUAAAAGGGGGAGAUUUUUAUUGGUACUUUUGAAGAUAUUUCACGUGUUUGAUUGAUUGAUUGGUUGUUGGUUGCUAAUGUCCAAUGUCAAAUGGUUCACGCAUAUUUAGGACUAGAACAAAUUGAAAUAAAUACAUUAUUUGGGUUCUUUAAAUUAAUAUAUGCUAAAUCUAACAAUGUAUAAAGAUGUAUUAGAUGUAUUAGAUGUUGUAAUUGGGACUUACAGUAAAAAUUGUCAAUUUUAUUUCCUGUCAUUGAUAUAUAUGAAAUACAAAAAAUGUGGUUUGAUUGCCAAUGAGAACAAAUGACAUUGAAGUAAAGCUAUAGGUCUUCAUACGCCUUAUGGCCUUCAACAACGAGCAAGACCCAUAUUGCAUAUAUAUGUAUAUUCACCCAUUAAAGGCCCCAAAAUAAGAAAAUGAAAAAAUAUGAAAAUUCACAGCCUGAUUAAUGUAUGUAUUUUUGUUAUUUUCAGAUCUAGGCUUGCUGCUAACCUUUCUGUCAACAACUACUGAACUUUAACAGCAGUCAACAUCAGAUUGAGAGACUGAAAAUACUUAUGACAGAAACAACUUUAACCAACCAAACAAGCAACAGAAACUUUCCAACUUUAAAACAUCAGUUAAAUCUUCCAUGGGAUGAUGUCUCAAAAAAUAGCAGUUCAUCAUUUAUGGAGAUUUUAAUGUUAUGGUUUUUCUUUUACAAGAAAGUUAAUGUACACUUGUUUUAUAGUAAAACCUUACUGUUCGAGUAUAAGAAACCCAC